GCCUCCGUAGCUCAGGGGAUAGAGCAUUGGUUUCCGGUACCAAAGGUCGCACGUUCGAUUCGUGUCGGGGGCAC
rnacentral:tRNA from 1 species